rfam:Cephalotus follicularis DNA, scaffold: scaffold2336, isolate: St1.
ACGGCAUGAUGGAGGCAUUUUUUGAUGAGGUCCUUUAAUCUUUCCCAUGAGUCAUGGAACUGCUCACGAUCUUGCUGCAAAAAGCUAGUGAGAGCUCGCCUU